rnacentral:rRNA from 1 species
UAGGGAAUCUUCCACAAUGGACGCAAGUCUGAUGGAGCAACGCCGCGUGAGUGAAGAAGGUUUUCGGAUCGUAAAGCUCUGUUGUUAGUGAAGAAGGAUAGAGGCAGUAACUGUUCUUUAUUUGACGGUAAUUAACCAGAAAGUCCCGGCUAACUACGUGCCAGCAGCCGCGGUAAUACGUAGGUGGCAAGCGUUAUCCGGAUUUAUUGGGCGUAAAGCGAGCGCAGGCGGUAUGAUAAGUCUGAUGUGAAAGCCCACGGCUCAACCGGGGAACUGCAGCGGAAACUGUCAGGCUUGAGUGCAGAAGAGGAGAGUGGAAUUCCAUGUGUAGCGGUGGAAUGAGUAGAGAUAUGGAAGAACACCAGUGGCGAAGGCGGCUAUCUGGUCUGCAACUGACGCUGAGGCUCGAAAGCAUGGGUAGCGAACAGG